rnacentral:tRNA from 1 species
CAGGGAAUAGUUUAAGUAAGGAAUAUCAGCUUUGGGAGUUGAAGGUGGAAAGCAAAUUUUCUUCCCUGAUAGGU